GGAAGGAUCAUUAACACGUAUCCCCAAACGUACAAACCCCCCUUUGUAUGAACUUUUAAUCCGUGCUUCUGCGUGUAUCUGACUGGUACUUGUACCAUGAAGGUUCUGCACGACUGGGAACGGUCGUGCGGCGCGUUUGCUUCACCGCAACAUACUGCUGAGGUGCCUAUUUUUUAAAUUUUAAAAACUCUAUACUAUGGUCACAAACUUAAAAAAGACUUGUGCAAACAAGUCUCCAAUACAUGUGUAAAAACGCUGAACAACUUUUAGCAACGGAUGUCUUGGUUCUCGCCACGAUGAAGAACGCAGCGAAAUGCGAUACGUAAUGUGAAUUGCAGAAUUCAGUGAAUCAUCGAAUCUUUGAACGCAAAUUGCACUUCGAGGUAUCCCUUGGAGUAUGCUUCUUUGAGCAUCGGUUCCCUUCUAUACAACGUGUACAUUUUUUGUAUAUUUUGUGUGAAAAUGAGUGUUUCACUUUUAGUGCAUCACUUCAAAACCACGGCUACAGCUUGUUCUCGCUGUAUGCAUGGAAAGGAUAGGUGGCCUCUGUGCUGCUUUUUGCUGGUCAAACAGCUAUCUUUUUUCAUCGCUGCAGUGAUUGAUUAUACAAACUGUCUGUCGAUCGUUCUGGCCCGCGCAUUCAAGCCCGGACCGGCGCGCUCAACAUAAAACAACCAAUCUGAUCUCAAAUGAAGUAAGAGGACCCCCUGAAUUUAAGCAUAUCAUUAAGGGGAGGAAAAGAAACUAACUAGGAUUCCCUCAGUAACGGCGAGUGAAGCGGGAAGAGCUCAAGCUUAAAAUCGGUUGCCCUCGCGGCGAUCGAAUUGUAGUCUAGAGAGGCGUGGUCAGCGCGUGGCCCGGACCUAAGUCCUUUGGAACAGGGCGUCAGAGAGGGUGAGAACCCCGUCUUUGGUUCGGAGACCGCCGCGUACGAUACGCUUUCGACGAGUCGGGUUGCUUGGGACUGCAGCCCUAAUUGGAUGGUAAAUUUCAUCUAAAGCUAAUAUUGGCGAGAGACCGAUAGCGAACAAGUACCGUGAGGGAAAGAUGAAAAGAACUUUGAAAAGAGAGUUAAAAAGUGCCUGAAAUUGCUAAAAGGGAAGCGAUGGAAAUCAGUCGUGUGGGCGCAGUCAAAUUCCUCCCGGCAGCGGAUCGAGUCUGGGUUUCGGGCACCGCAAGGGCCCGGGCCUGUUCGUGAGAGCUGCCUGCAGUUUCUGAUUGCGUCCGAGUUCCAGGAUCAGUUCGGGUCGCAUCGCAGAACCGCUCGGGGAAGGUAGGUUAGACGGGGCAACCCUGACAACUGUUACAGCCCCGGUGCGUGAGUCGCGUGCGCUGGACUGAGGCUUCAAUUGAAGGCAAGGCGCGCCCUUUGGCGAGAUGGCGGGUCCCCGGGCCGUGGGGCGGCUGGAAUGCAAUGCAUUGCUGACGCCGAAGCGGUUUGCUGGGCUCGUCCACUUUCUGCGCUUUCGCGAUCCUGGGAGAAAUGGUUUUCACCGACCCGUCUUGAAACACGGACCAAGGAGUCUAACAUAUAUGCGAGUAUUUGGGUGCGUGAAACCCUGAUGCGCAAUGAAAGUGAAGGCAGGCGAUUUCGUUUGCUGAGGUGUGAUGCGUUCGUUCGCGGGCGCAGCAACAUUGACCGAUCAGUCACUUGUGAAAGAUUUGAGUAAGAGCAUAUCUGUCGGGACCCGAAAGAUGGUGAACUAUGCCUGGACAGGGCGAAGCCAGGGGAAACUCUGGUGGAGGCUCGUAGCGAUACUGACGUGCAAAUCGUUCGUCUGAUCUGGGUAUAGGGGCGAAAGACUAAUCGAACCAUCUAGUAGCUGGUUCCCUC
rnacentral:misc_RNA from 1 species